UUGCUCGCAACGCUCUUGCGUCAUGGUUAAACAAAUUAAACCACGGCCAUGAGUCGCCAUAAAAUUAAUCGCUUGUGCACUAAUAUGCUCAGCAGCUAUUAUUA
rnacentral:antisense_RNA from 1 species